AUGGCGCGCCCCAUGAGGCUCAUGGAGAACGCGCGGGAGCGUGCCAAGGCGCACGCCAAUAGGGCCAAUGCGCUCAAGAAGCAGGCGGAGAAGCUCGCCACGCUCUGCGCGGUCCCAGUCGCGCUCGUCUGCACCGGCGCCGGGGCUCCGCCGCUCGUGUGGGAGUCGGAGGAGGGCGUGCUCGAGAGGUACCGCCGCGCCGUCCCGCCGGAGGCCCGCGCGGGGCACACGCACCGGGACUACCUCGAGGCGGAGCUGGGCAAGCGGAGGGCCAAGCUCGCCAGGGCGCGCCACGGCUGCCCCGCCGCGCUCCCGGACUGGGACGAGGCGCUCAACGACAUGACGCUGGACGACGCGCGGGCGCUGCUCCGGGCCAUCGACGCGGCGCUGCGGGCCACGGGAGACAGGAUGGAGGCGCUAGGCGUGCCUGCUGACCACGGCCACGGCCCACUCGGUGAGCAGGUCGCGCCGGACUCUUCCGACGUCGCCGUCAUGCCGCAGCACUUCUGGCACGACGGCGGCGUGUCCUGGACCGUGGGCGACCCCGUGGACAUGGCCGACGCCGAGGGCUUGCAGCAGCUGCAGAUGGUGCCGUACCACGGCGGGAACAACGACGACCUACUCGAGCAAUUCCCACGGGACCAUGGCUUCCAGAUGCAACCAGGAUGCAACGGCUUCCAAUGCGCCGGCGGCAACUUCUCGGGCGACGGCGACGACGGGAUGCUCGCGCUUGGCCUCGGCAAUGCUGGCUACAACCACUCGGGCUGCGGCGAUGGGAUGCUCGCGCCGGGCUUCGCCAAUGCUGGCUACAACUACUCAGUCGGCGGCGGCGACAAGAUGCUCGCGCCGGGCUUCGGCAACGCUGGUUACAACUGGCCUGAUCUUACCAUGUGGCACACCGACGAGGUGUGCUUCGCCGACGGCACUCUGGCGCCUGAGCACUACUCCGGCGAGGUCGCCGCCGGCGGCGACUACGUGAGCACACUACCAUCUGGGUACGGGUACCCCAUGGCCAUGGGCAUGGACGUCGGCGACAACUUCACCAGUCUGGAGAGCAACUACACGGCGGCGCAUUGGCAAGCCAAGGCGCUCCAUCGCUCCAACGCCAACGCCAGCGCCAGCACCAUGUCAGGCUCAGCCUUGAUCAUCCCCUGUUUCCAGCAUGCCAGAAGUGUUUUGGUCCGUCGAUCGUCAAUCUAA
rnacentral:rRNA from 1 species